rnacentral:rRNA from 1 species
CAGGGUAGCAAUACCGCUGACGACCGGCGCACGGGUGAGUAACACGUAUCCAACCUUCCCAUAACUCAGGGAUAGCCUUUCGAAAGAAAGAUUAAUACCUGAUAGUACUUUUUCAAGGCAUCUUGAGAAAGUUAAAGAUUUAUUGGUUAUGGAUGGGGAUGCGUUCCAUUAGAUAGUUGGUGAGGUAACGGCUCACCAAGUCUUCGAUGGAUAGGGGUUCUGAGAGGAAGGUCCCCCACAUUGGUACUGAGACACGGACCAAACUCCUACGGGAGGCAGCAGUGAGGAAUAUUGGUCAAUGGGCGAGAGCCUGAACCAGCCAAGUAGCGUGAAGGAUGACGG